GAGCAUUCUAAGAGCCGCCUCCGUUCUCUUGCCGUGCAGGGAAGGAACAUGUACUCAAAGACCCGGCCAGGAAGAAAGAUUUGAUCUCCCGGCAGGAUCCACUUCCCAUGGCGACGCCUUCUUGAGUCGAAGCUCUGGUAUGAAAUCUUUUUGGUGAAUGCCUUGGAGGUUUGGGUUCAGUGGACUUUGACUGAGUGUCUCCAGAAAGCUCAGCACAUGCCUCCUGAAGCAGAUAUCCAGCCGGCUGAAGCUUGCUGCCGUGGAACCAAUCGUGAGACCGUUGCACAGUGGUGUCUGCGUGAGAUCAGUGCAAUACCAUGAAGAGUCCGCUUGAUUUGGGGGAAGUGCUCGCACAGCAGUCAAGAGGUCUAGAUGUGAGCCUGACUCUGCCACUAAAGCUGUGUGACAUUGUCUAAGUGUCUGCCUCUCUCUGGGGCUCGAUUUCUUUCUCUGUGUAGUGAGGGUGGGGUCAGACAAAUGCUGAGGAGCUUUCUAGCACUGACCUUCAAUGAUUCUUGUAGGCAGACACUGUGACACAUGUGUCUUGGCUCCCGUAUCCCCAACCCAGGACCUGGUGUAGCACCAGAAACAAAAUAGGUACUAAGCAAAUGCUUAUUAGAUGCACAGCUAAAGGAAUUGCUCAGGAGAUAAAUGACAAUAACACCCCAGCUCCCACAGAUGCAUAGCAUUGAAGGGAUCAACACAUCAUUUAAGGAAAGUUUUUAUUUUUAUCAGAGUUAUAGAUAGUUUAAAGAGUCACAUAACUCCAUAAGAUUGACAAUGAUAAGCCCUUGAGUUUGUGCCACAAUCUACAUUUCAGAAAACACCUUCACCCAAUCAUGAACAGCAGAUGUGGCUGGAGCAUAUUAUGAUUUGGUAACAGGUUAAGGAAUGGAAGCCCGGAGAGGGAAAGUGACCCGCCUCAGGUCACCCAGCAAGUACCUGGAGGAGCAGAGCCUUUAAUGCAGCCCAGCAUUUUCUCAGCUUGUGUCUGGAAACGUUUUUUUUAGUCCAAACUGGUCAAUGGUAGAGUGUGCUCUAAAGGUUAGGGGCUCCUGGGACGUGGCUCGCUUUUAGUAGACUGGAAUCCAUCGCCUCUGUGCAAAGCAGGGCUCAGCAACUGGCAGGACUGAGUGCGGUUGGCAGCCAUCCGAGG
rnacentral:lncRNA from 1 species